GUCAGUGGAUGCAGGUAUCUCAGGAUUGGUAUCAGGUGCUGUAAUCGAACACAGUUCACAGAUUGUAGGUACUGAAAUUCCAUCUGCAGCAAAUGUUGGUGCAGCAGUUCCAUCAACUUGCUCCUUGGAUGGACAAAGAACCAACGGUGAUUCCCAAUCUGCCAACAUUACCUCCUUAGAACAAGUCUUGAGGAACCUGUUGACUUCAACAUUGGCACCAGCUUCCACUCAAGCAUAUAAAUGG